rnacentral:rRNA from 1 species
ACAUGGUCAAUCUCCCCACAAGACCGGGAUAGCCGCCCGAAAGGGCGGGUAAUACCGGGUAAGCCCACGACCCCGCAUGGGGAUGAGGGAAAAGGUUGGGAUCCUUCGGGACCUUCCGCUUGUGGAUGAGACCAUGUCCUAUCAGCUAGUUGGCGGGGUAACGGCCCACCAAGGCUUCGACGGGUAGCCGGCCUGAGAGGGUGUCCGGCCACACUGGAACUGAGACACGGUCCAGACUCCUACGGGAGGCAGCAGUGCUGAAUUAUUCGCCAAUGCGCGAAAGCGUGACGGUGCGACGCCGCGUGGAGGAUGAAGGCCUUCGGGUUGUAAACUCCUGUCAGGGUACAGAAAACCGCAGUCGUUAACAGCGCCUGCGCUGAUCAUACCCAAAGGAAGCACAGGCUAACCUCGUGCCAGCAGCCGCGGUAAUACGAGGUGUGCAAGCGUUGCUCGGAAUCACUGGGCAUAAAGGGUGCGUAGGCGGUAUGGUCAGUCGGAUGUGAAAUCCCUCGGCUUAACCGGGGAACUGCAUCCGAUACUACCAUGCUUGAGGGUGAAAGGGGCAAGCGGAAUUCCAGGUGUAGCGGUGGAAUGCGUUGAUAUCUGGGAGAACGCCAACGGCGAAGGCAGCUUGCUGGGUCACCUCUGACGCUGAGGCACGAAAGCUAGGGGAGCAAACAGGAUUAGAUACCCUGGUAGUCCUAGCCGUAAACGAUGGACACUUUGUUCCGGGAGGUCCUGACCUUUCGGAGCCGGAGUCAAUGCAUUAAGUGUCCCGCCUGGGGAGUACGGUCGCAAGGCUAAAACUCAAAGGAAUUGACGGGGGCUCACACAAGCGGUGGAGCAUGUUGUUCAAUUCGAACCAACGCGAAUAACCUUACCUGGGCUUGAAAUGCUGGACGUAGAACCCUGAAAGGGGAACGACCCUCGCAAGAGGGAACCAGCACAGGUGCUGCAUGGCUGUCGUCAGCUCGUGUCGUGAGACGUUGGGUUAAGUCCCGUAACGAGCGAAACCCCUGUCGUCUGUCGCUAACGGUUCGGCCGAGCACUCGGACGAGACUGCCGGUGUUAAACCGGAGGAAGGCGGGGACGACGUCAAGUCAUCAUGGUCCUUAUGUCCAGGGCUACAAACGUGCUACAAUGGCGAGGACAGAGAGACGCAAAGCCGCGAGGCAGAGCAAAUCUUCAAAACUCGCCUCAGUUCAGAUUGGAGGCUGCAAUUCGCCUCCAUGAAGCUGGAAUCGCUAGUAAUCGCGGAUCAGCAAUGCCGCGGUGAAUAUGUUCCUGAGCCUUGUACACACCGCCCGUCAAGUCAUC